rnacentral:rRNA from 1 species
GACGAACGCUGGCGGCGUGCUUAACACAUGCAAGUCGAACGGAAAGGCCCUGCUUUUGUGGGGUGCUCGAGUGGCGAACGGGUGAGUAACACGUGAGUAACCUGCCCUUGACUUUGGGAUAACUUCAGGAAACUGGGGCUAAUACCGGAUAGGAGCUCCUGCUGCAUGGUGGGGGUUGGAAAGUUUCGGCGGUUGGGGAUGGACUCGCGGCUUAUCGGCUUGUUGGUGGGGUAGUGGCUUACCAAGCCUUUGACGGGUAGCCGGCCUGGGAAGGUGACCGGCCACAUUGGGACUGAGAGACGGCCCAGAGUCGAACGGGAGGCAGCGGGGGGGAAUAUUGCACAAUGGGCGGAAGCCUGUGGCGGCAACGCCGCGUGUGGGAUGCCGGCCUGCGGGUUGUAAACCGCUUUCGCCUGUUACGAAGCGUGAGUGACGGUAAUGGGUAAAGAAGCACCGGCUAACUACGUG